rnacentral:rRNA from 1 species
AGAGUUUGAUCCUGGCUCAGGACGAACGCUGGCGGCGUGCCUAAUACAUGCAAGUCGAGCGGAUCAAUGGGGAGCUUGCUCCCCUGAGAUCGGCGGCGGACGGGUGAGUAACACGUGGGCAACCUGCCUGUAAGACUGGGAUAACUCCGGGAAACCGGGGCUAAUACCGGAUAACAUUUUCCACUGCAUAGUGGAGAAUUAAAAGAUGGCUUCGGCUAUCACUUACAGAUGGGCCCGCGGCGCAUUAGCUAGUUGGUGAGGUAAGGGCUCACCAAGGCGACGAUGCGUAGCCGACCUGAGAGGGUGAUCGGCCACACUGGGACUGAGACACGGCCCAGACUCCUACGGGAGGCAGCAGUAGGGAAUCUUCGGCAAUGGGCGAAAGCCUGACCGAGCAACGCCGCGUGAGCGAUGAAGGCCUUCGGGUCGUAAAGCUCUGUUGUUAGGGAAGAACAAGUACCGUUCAAAUAGGGCGGUACCUUGACGGUACCUAACCAGAAAGCCACGGCUAACUACGUGCCAGCAGCCGCGGUAAUACGUAGGUGGCAAGCGUUGUCCGGAAUUAUUGGGCGUAAAGCGCGCGCAGGCGGUCUCUUAAGUCUGAUGUGAAAGCCCACGGCUCAACCGUGGAGGGUCAUUGGAAACUGGGGGACUUGAGUACUGGAGAGGAGAGUGGAAUUCCAUGUGUAGCGGUGAAAUGCGUAAUAUAUGGAGGAACACCAGUGGCGAAAGCGGCUCUCUGGCCAGUAACUGACGCUGAGGCGCGAUAGCGUGGGGGAGCAAACAGGAUUAGAUACCCUGUAGUCCACGCCGUAAACGAUGAGUGCUAGGGGUUGAGGGU